CUUACCUGGUAUACAGACCUACCACUAGGUGAGGUCAUGUGACUGACAUUUCUAUGACAUUUCUACUGAGCUUACCUGGUAUACAGACCUACCACUAGGUGAGGUCAUGUGACUAACAUUUCUAUGACAUUACUACUGAGCUUACCUGGUAUACAGACCUACCACUAGGUGAGGUCAUGUGACUGACAUUUCUAUUAUAUUACAACUGA